rnacentral:rRNA from 1 species
GUGGGGAAUAUUGGACAAUGGGCGAAAGCCUGAUCCAGCCAUGCCGCGUGUGUGAAGAAGGUCUUCGGAUUGUAAAGCACUUUAAGUUGGGAGGAAGGGCAGUAAGUUAAUACCUUGCUGUUUUGACGUUACCGACAGAAUAAGCACCGGCUAACUUCGUGCCAGCAGCCGCGGUAAUACGAAGGGUGCAAGCGUUAAUCGGAAUUACUGGGCGUAAAGCGCGCGUAGGUGGUUCAGCAAGUUGGAGGUGAAAUCCCCGGGCUCAACCUGGGAACUGCCUCAAAAACUACUGGGCUAGAGUACGGUAGAGGGUAGUGGAAUUUCCUGUGUAGCGGUGAAAUGCGUAGAUAUAGGAAGGAACACCAGUGGCGAAGGCGACUACCUGGACUGAUACUGACACUGAGGUGCGAAAGCGUGGGGAGCAAACAGGAUUAGAUACCCCAGUAGUCC